GGGAAAGGAGAAGGUGAAAAUUGAGUUGUCUGUGAAUAAACUCUUAGAGGGCUUGGCUAGAUGGCUUUCCUAGUUUUUUCUUGAUGCCCGGAUGUGGUGGAACGAGGGAGGUGCAGCACUUCAAAGGACAUGGGAGCAGAUAAAAAGAAAGGAGCAGGUCCCAAAGCAGUUUACAUAGCCAAAGGAAUGAGAAGAUGGUUCCCUAUCCCAAAGGGGUUCAAUCUUUUUAUAGAAGGCACAAGAAGGACACCAGUAACACUGGGAGAGAACUUUAUGCUGGAGUGAAUAGGGACCGCUGUGAAUAGCUCUUCUUCUGCUACACAGAAGAGAACCACCACUUGAAAAGGGCCCAUGUCUCCUCUCAGUACUUUUAGAAGGUAAGUAUCAUAGCAUCUCAGUCUCUCAGCGGUUGUGCCCCAUGAGAUUCAGGUGAGGUUGAGUCAAUUGCUCAAGUUCUUUUAUGAUGAUGUGUAUUUGAUUCUGAUUCUUGGUUAAAGUUGAUUCAGCCUUUAUUUAAAAAAUUUCCAUACUACCCAGAUGAAAUUUAUUAAAUAUCUGUUAUCUGAUAAAGACUCUAAUGUCACAUAUCGAAUUGCAAAAUUUUGUUUCUUAGCUACAAAGAGGCUCACUGUAUUCUUGUAGCUCCUCCAGGAUUUUGACCAAAUUGGUCAUGGAAAUGUAGAAGUACUAUCUAUGUAUUUUACUACAGUUAUCAAUUUUUCUGAUAAUGUUGAUAUUUGGAUGAUUGUAUCACUGCUGUUGUUCUGGCCUAUGACCGUCAUAAAGUACAAGUACUUGAGUGGAGGGAGUGCCAGUGGCCCAGAGAGCUCCUUGGUGGCUGCCAUCUUUUUUGUAAUCGGUAAUGCAAUGCUCCACCCCAGUCACUGUGUCAUACAGGGACAGGGAGGAGCUGAUUUUUUAAAAUGACAGCCACUAGCAUGGCUGCCAAGGAGCAUGCCAAGCGGCUGUUGCCCUUGCCACCAAGAUAGGCCUCCACCAGAGUUUGGGCCCGAGGAAGGCUUUCUUGGGCAGCUGUAGUGGCUCAGAGAGCUUCUAGGCAGCCAUGUGGGCAGCUGCCAAAUUUUUCACUGCAAGAAGUGAGACACUGGGCAGAAUUGGGCUUUGAGCCCUCUGAUAGCCCUGGGCUCCCAGCCAGUGCCCCACUGGUCCUGCUGGGAUUGGUCAUUCUAUGGAAGAAAGGCACUAAGGAUAUCUAACGGAGAAUUCUCAGUGACCUGAAAUUAUGGCCCCCAGGUUUCUUAUUUGCUGAAGUGCAAAUAAAAUGCAGUUCUGCUAAAAUCAGUGCAAAAUUAAAUCCAUGCAAACUUGACUUAAGUUUGUAAUAUAGAUGUGCCCUAGAUUCCCAGUGGUAAAAUGGGGGGAUGGGGUGGGGAGAGGGAGUAGAGAGGCUUCAGCCAGGUAGCAAGCUCAAGUGCUCCAUUCUGAGCUAUUUAUUUAUUUUUGCACUAGUCCACAUUGGCAUAGUACUUGUGCACCAUGAGAAAGAAAGAGGAACUUAUUCUGGUCCACUGCUCUGCUCCCAGUAUCCAUCAGCAUGGGCAAAUCAGAGAAGAGAGUUCACGAUAAAAGAGAUAUGACUGUCUGCUGUAACCUGCCACCAGCUGAUGCUUUAUCCCUCACAGCCUGUCUGAGAUACGUGACAAGGGAGCACUAAGCUAGCGUCCGACUGAUCUAUCUGUGCUUAGGCUGUCUGGACAGAAAUCUCACUCUAACCAUCUGGUGGAUACAUCAGGCAAUCUAUGUGUAUCGAGAUUGUGAGGUGCAGGUCAGGCUUCUCUGUUAGGGCAGAAAUCAGACUCAUUUUGUAUCGAGCUUCUAAAAAUCAGGAGUUUUCAGCAUACAGUAUGCUGUCACUAUCUUCAAGUACUUCCCUGUCAUCCAAGCCAGGAGUUCUACAGACUACUACUCCAUGCAGAUCAGCAAGGCUGGAUUAUUCAGCAUUGUGCCAAGGGCUACGCUACCCAGCCAUUCUCCAGUCAAUCUGGGGUCUCUGCUUUGGUCUAAUUAUCUGGAAUAUCUCAAAACAAAGGAAUGUAACCAUCUGUCUCAUGGCUCUGAAGAUCUUUAACAUUCCUGCAGUUCAUAAUAUAGUUCAGGGUUUCUUAACCCGCAGAUGUUUUUGGACUACAACCCUCAUCAUCCUCAGCCACAAAGGCCAUAUCUGGGUAUGAUGGGAGUUGUAGUCCAACAACAUCUGGGGGCCCAAGGUUAAGAAACACUGAUAUAGUUGAUUCCCCACUCCCUGGUCAAAGGCAGCAGCAACAUUUUCCAGAUGCUGUCAAUUAAAAAUACUAGCUGACUUCCUAAUGAAGAACUAGCGCUUCUGAAAGGUUUGACUGUUCCAGCUCCACGGCUAGCACAGAAGUGAUGGCAAAUUUCAGCAAACUCCCCUUCCACAGGAAGUGCUCUGUGCCAUGUGAAAACGUGUCAAGCACAGCCCUCACUGACAUCUUUUCAGAUGAUACA